rnacentral:rRNA from 1 species
AUUGAACGCUGGCGGCAGGCCUAACACAUGCAAGUCGAGCGGGGUUUUCGGACCUAGCGGCGGACGGGUGAGUAAUGCGUAGGAAGCUACCCGAUAGAGGGGGAUACCAGUUGGAAACGACUGUUAAUACCGCAUAAUGUCUACGGACCAAAGUGUGGGACCUUCGGGCCACAUGCUAUCGGAUGCGCCUACGUGGGAGUAGCUAGUUGGUGAGGUAAUGGCUCACCAAGGCGACGAUCCCUAGCUGGUUUGAGAGGAUGAUCAGCCACACUGGAACUGAGACACGGUCCAGACUCCUACGGGAGGCAGCAGUGGGGAAUAUUGGACAAUGGGCGCAAGCCUGAUCCAGCCAUGCCGCGUGUGUGAAGAAGGCCUUCGGGUUGUAAAGCACUUUCAGUAGGGAGGAAGCGUUGUGUGUUAAUAGUACACAGCGUUGACGUUACCUACAGAAGAAGCACCGGCUAACUCUGUGCCAGCCGCCGCAGUAAAAC